AGGAGCGGACAGCGUUUAAACUUGUUCACUAAAAUAUAUAGGAGUUGCCAACUUUGGUUUAAACUUCUUCGCUACUACUAAAAUACUACAGCUCUCUGCAUUUCGCUCCUCUCUGCUAACCGAAUCCUUCUCUAUUCAGCUUACCGCCAUGGGCCUGAAAAAGGAAGCAAAUGCAAACGUGAAUCCAACACAUGUUGCAGUUGAUAGAAAGAGACAUCUGAAUGUUGUAUUCAUUGGUCAUGUUGAUGCUGGGAAGUCCACAGCUGGAGGACAAAUACUAUUCCUUAGUGGUCAAGUUGAUGAUCGGACUAUCCAGAAGUAUGAGAAGGAAGCAAAGGAUAAGAGUAGAGAGAGUUGGUAUAUGGCCUAUAUCAUGGAUACAAAUGAAGAGGAGAGAGCGAAGGGAAAAACAGUUGAGGUAGGAAGAGCACAUUUUGAAACAGAGACAACAAGAUUUACAAUCUUGGAUGCCCCGGGUCACAAGAGUUACAUCCCGAAUAUGAUUAGUGGAGCAUCUCAAGCCGAUAUAGGUGUAUUGGUUAUAUCCGCUAGAAAGGGUGAAUUCGAAACUGGAUAUGAAAGAGGUGGACAAACACGUGAACAUGUUCAACUUGCAAAGACUCUAGGAGUUUCUAAGCUCCUUGUUGUUGUAAAUAAGAUGGAUGAUCCUACUGUCGUCUGGUCUAAAGAAAGGUAUGACGAUAUCCAGUCCAAAAUGAUACCAUUCUUAAAAUCAUCUCAAUACAAUGUAAGGAAAGAUGUUCAGUUCCUGCCAAUCUCUGGUCUCCUUGGUUCAAAUAUGAAAACUCGGGUGGAGGAAAGAGUAUGCGCAUGGUGGGAUGGUCCAUGCCUUUUUGAAGCUCUUGAUGCGGUAGAAGUUCCUCCCCGAGAUCCUGAAGGUCCACUAAGAAUGCCUAUUAUCGACAAAUUUAAAGACCUGGGAACUGUUGUUAUGGGUAAAACAGAAUCUGGGAGCAUUUGUGAAGGUGAUAGUUUGUUGAUGAUGCCAAAUAAGUUUGUUGUGAAAGUACCUGCUCUAUUUUGUGAUGAAGAUAGAGUUAGGUACGCAGAUCCGGGGGAAAAUGUACGAGUUAGGUUAUCUGGAAUCGAGGAAGAGGACAUUUUGUCAGGUUUUGUCUUGUGCAGUGUUGCAAACCCCAUACCUGCAGUUACUGAGUUUGUUGCACAGUUACAGAUCUUGGAGCUGUUGGACAAUGCUAUUUUUACUGCUGGCUACAAGGCUGUGUUGCAUAUUCAUGCUAUUGUUGAGGAAUGCGAGAUUGUUGAACUGAUGCAGCAGAUUGAUCUCAAGAAAAAGAAGCCCAUGAAGAAAACACCUUUGUUUGUGAAGAACGGAGCAAUCGUUCUAUGUCGUGUUCAGGUGAAUAAUCUGAUUUGUAUCGAGAAGUUCUCUGAUUUUCCACAACUUGGGCGGUUCACUCUUCGCAGUGAAGGGAAAACUGUUGCUGUGGGGAAAGUUACCACCCUUCCUACUGUUGCUAAUAAUGCGUGAACAACUUGAUAACUGAAAAGGAAACAACCUCUCUACCUCCACGAGGCAGGGGUAAGGUCUUACCUUAAGGCCCCUGUACACUCUACCCUCCCUAAACUCCACUUGUGAAGGAAAGGUCAGUUGAACUUAGAUGGCAGCAGACAUAAUUUUUGGUCCUUUGCAGCAUUAACCUGGAGCUAAGUUGAUGUGAUCUGCUAUAUGCGUAAACGUUCGCCAGUUUAGUGUCUGCGUAGUGUGCUGUAUUGGUUCUGGUAUCUGUUGUCGUUUUAUAGUACCAUCCGAUGAUGGUGCUUGUUUUUUAAUGCGCAGUGCUGUAUGAAUCUAUCUUGAUUUUGGUAGAUGAUCCAUUUUACAUGCUGGUCGAUCUUAUAUAUGCACAAAAAUACCGAUAAUUGGGCCUUUGCUUAUGGCUGAAUGCAUAUCAAUUAAUCCUUUUGAAAUACGAUUGCAUUGAUCUUCGUGUAUGGCAUAGAAAACAUAAUUUUAUUUGUAUUUGCAUAAUAUUCAUACCAGAUGAGUUUAUAUAUAGA